GACGUAGGGCGCGAGCGUUGUCCGGAUUUAUUGGGCAUAAAGAGCUCGUAGGCGGCUUGUCGCGUCGACUGUGAAAACCCGAGGCUCAACUUCGGGCUUGCAGUCGAUACGGGCAGGCUAGAGUUCGGUAGGGGAGACUGGAAUUCCUGGUGUAGCGGUGAAAUGCGCAGAUAUCAGGAGGAACACCGAUGGCGAAGGCAGCUCGCUGGGACGGUACUGACGCUAAGGCGCGAAAGCGUGGGGAGCAAACAGG
rnacentral:rRNA from 1 species